CCUACGGGGGGCUGCAGUGGGGAAUAUUGGGCAAUGGGCGCAAGCCUGACCCAGCAACGCCGCGUGAAGGAAGAAGGCUUUCGGGUGGUAAACUUCUGUUCUCAGGGACGAAGAAAGUGACGGUACCUGAGGAAUAAGCCACGGCUAACUCCGUGCCAGCAGCCGCGGUAAUACGGAGGGGGCGAGCGUUAAGCGGAAUUACUGGGCGUAAAGCGCUCGUAGGCGGUAUGUCAAGUCAAGGGGGAAAUCCCCGCGCUCAACGUGGGAACUGCCUUUGAAACUGGCAAACUGGAGUGUGUGAGAGGAUAGUGGAAUUCCAGGUGUAGGCGUGACAUCCGUAGAUAUCUGGAGGAACAUCAGUGGCGAAGGCGACUCUCUGGCACAUAACUGACGCUGAGGCGCGAACGCGUGGGUAGCAAACCGGAUUAGAUACCCGAGUAGUC
rnacentral:rRNA from 1 species